AGCUCAAGAAUAACAAAAAAUCAAUGCAAAUGUCUAUUGAAAGGAAAAACCACCAUUUCACAUGGGUGACAAGAUAAGAUUACUUUGUCACAAUAUUAAGACUACUCGUCUUUAUGAUAAGUUGGACUAUUAUAGGCUUGGACUAUUUCUUAUUUUUAUACAAAUCAAUCCAAUUGCAUAUCGUUUAUACCUACCAAAGUCAAUAAAAAUCUAUCUAGUAU
rnacentral:lncRNA from 1 species